UCUGCUCAUGCCCGAAAUUGACC
rnacentral:piRNA from 1 species